AGGUUUGAUUCUGACUCUGGGGAUCUUAAACAGAUGACCCGAGUGGUCUUGAUAGUUCAUUCUGUAGAGGAAAUGCCUAAAUGUAUUUUGGAACCAAACUUUUCAAACCAGCGGCAGUAUCUUUAAAUCUACCCUCUGACGGACAGGAAGCCAGUAUAAAGACCUCAGAACUGGACUGAUGUGAUUCCCUUUCUUGGUCUUGUGAGGAGCAGCAUUAUUCAUCAUUCAGCUGAAUCAUUCUGAGGCUGGCUCGGUCAGUUAUUUUCAACUUUACUGACUGAACCUUUGACUUUAAACCUUACCUUUGCUCCAAAAACAACCCCCUCAAAUUGAUCCUUUUUCAGCUAAAAUUUUUUUUGGCACAUUCCGUUGUGGAUUUGUUCAAAGGCACUGACUCAGCACCUGUACGGGACUGUGCUCACUAGGUGACAUUGUUGUGUGUUGUCUGUGUAGCUAUGGUAACUUACUUUUGCAGUUUUCUAUGAUCCGAACCAAUUUGGGCAUAUAAACGCUAAACAAAAGAGGCCCAAGGAUGGAGCCUUGGGGGACUCCAUGUACUACUUUAAGACAUUCAAGUCAAUACUGAACCUCUAUAAGCAGGACAUGUUUCUUACCUUAUUGCCCACUGUAGCUAAAUAACCACAUUCAGUAUCAGCGAUAAAGUGUCAUGGAUGGAUUUGAUUUUGGAUCAUUCGCUUACCUAUAACAUGAGAGGACUGAUAGAGGGAUUGAUAAAUAGACUUUAUUUUGUUGUAUUAAGAUUCACAAUGAAACUUUGUUUUGCCACAUACAAAACUUUAACAUCACAAAAGAUGGUUUUUUAAAAUAACUUUCUGAAAUGUUCCAGUUCAACAAAUUUCAUGCUUUUACAUGGUUUAAUUGGACUUUUAUGUCAGAAUGAUGAUAAUGAUGAUAAGUCAUCAUUUCCUAUCUUAGGGGCAGUUAUGAGCUCAAUAAAUUGUCUGUAAUGACCCCUAGUAAUUGGCCAUGCUUUCAACAGAUAAUUCCACUAUUUGCAGAAUUGAAAUAUCUUUAUCUUUGGUUUGGCCUGAGUGGUUUGAAUUAAAGAGCAAAUUAAAGACAGCGUUGCAUAUUGCCACCUCAUCUAAAAUGUCCUGGAAUAAUAAAAAGGAAAACGUACAAUUUAAUGAAAAUCUUCUUUGGUUAGUCUCUCUCCAUAGUUCACAUAUUUGACUAUCUGAUCACAUUAUGACUAUCUCUGUCAAAAAAUGAUAUUACAAAUGUCUUUUUAAACAAUGAAAGCAUUUUUCUGUCUUUUUUGUUUGCUUGAGUGACCACUACUGAGUCAUCUUUCGACACUUAACAUUCACAAAGUGUUAGCUAAAAUGUUAACACAAGCAAAAGCGGACAGGUGAGUUUUACUGUCGUUCUCUCAUCACUUCAGGGGCAAAACUGGCGAAUUUCCCAAAACCUGUUGCUCUCUUUUUCAAGGAGAUUUGACCUCCUGGCUGGCUCCACUAAGCUCAUCGUCUCAGACCUGUCAGGAGGUGUUGUGAAGAAUGUUACUCAGACGGAAAAGUGUGAAUUGAUUGCCCUCUGACUGCUGCCAAACGCCACUCGGUGUGCCAUCCUGCGUACAGACGUGUGUGUUUCUGCAUGUCAUGCCUCCUAUAUGUGGAGAUGAGGGGGGACAUGGCUAAUUAAAGGAGUAAAAGCUGUUGAAAGGGGCUGGAGGCUGGCAGAAAAAGAGAGGGGACUUGACAUCCAUGUGUUCUCGUUUCGAGACAGAGACGAGGGCAAGCGUGACGGAAGCAGGAGGCCCGGGUUGCAGCACCCGUAGAGCAAGGAAUUAUGGGGAGGAGAAGGAGGUGGUAAUGGAGGAGGGUAGUGUUAAUAUUAACUGCAAUUCCAGACCUUCUACUACCAGUUUUUCUCUCUUUUUUUCAAGUCCAAGGAGAGUUUUAAAACCCCAACACCCUAUCCUACUGCUACACACACAUUCCAGGGGAGAGGGAUGGGAGCGUGACAAUCGGGAAACAACGGCUGUUAGUUACAGAAAAUGCAUUACGGCGUGGGCCCAGGCGGCCGAGUGGAGGAGAGGAAGUGGUGGGAUUACGCCUGGGCUUGGACGAGGAGAGCACGGGGGCCGGUUUUCUCCCCCCCUCAUCUCUGUAGUAAACUGUCCAGAUUUACAAGGUCUCUAGGGACAUGGGUACCCCAUCCUCAUCCUCGUCAAACCUCGACAGCUCCUGAUUUAAAAAUAAUCCUAAAUCAGCACAUGAC